rnacentral:rRNA from 1 species
UACGGAGGAUGCAAGCGUUAUCCGGAAUGAUUGGGCGUAAAGCGUCCGCAGGUGGCUAUGUAAGUCUGCUGUUAAAGAGUGAGGCUCAACCUCAUAAAAGCAGUGGAAACUACAUAGCUAGAGUGCGUUCGGGGCAGAGGGAAUUCCUGGUGUAGCGGUGAAAUGCGUAGAUAUCAGGAAGAACACCGGUGGCGAAAGCGCUCUUCUAGGCCGCAACUGACACUGAGGGACGAAAGCUAGGGGAGCGAAUGGG